UACGUGGGGUGCAAGCGUUGCUCGGAAUCACUGGGCGUAAAGCGCACGUAGGCGGCUUUCUAAGUCAGGGGUGAAAUCCUGGAGCUCAACUCCAGAACUGCCUUUGAUACUGGAGAGCUUGAGUCCGGAAGAGGUGAGUGGAACUCCGAGUGUAGAGGUGAAAUUCGUAGAUAUUCGGAAGAACACCAGUGGCGAAGGCGGCUCACUGGUCCGGUACUGACGCUGAGGUGCGAAAGCGUGGGGAGCAAACAGG
rnacentral:rRNA from 1 species